AAGGCCUGCUUACUUUCAAUUUUUGGAUGCUGACAGCAAGAACAGACCAGAUUUCUGUCUACUUCUUUAGAAAUUCUCAAUUUACAGCUGAGCAUCAACAGAAGUUUCAAAUACUACUGAGAAGAUGUGGUGGCAUUUGCUACAGUGUACAAAUUGUGUUUGCUGCUUCCUUCUUAACUUGCCAAUGAAUUUCAAGAAUCAUAUGCUUGAGAUUUGAACAAAUUACCAGUAGAUGGUGACCUUGCAACUUUUCCACAGCUAGGACUUCUAGACUGGCUUGACUUUUCUAAGACUAUAAACUUUAUGCUACCAAAUAUUGAAAAAUUAUAUGUUGAAUGGUU
rnacentral:lncRNA from 1 species